rnacentral:SRP_RNA from 1 species
GUCAGGCGCGGUGGCACGUGCCUGUAGUCCCAGCUACUCGGGAGGCUGAGGUGGGAGGAUCGCUUGAGCCCAGGAGUUCUGGGCUGUAGUGCGCUAUGCCGAUGGGGUGUCCGCACUAAGUUUGGCAUCAAUAUGGUGACCUCCUGGGAGGGAGGGACCACCAGGUUGCCUAAGGAGGGGUGAAUCGGCCCAGGUUGGAAACGGAGCAGGUCAUAAACUCCCAUGCUGAUCGGUAGUGGGAUCGUGCCUGUGAACAGCCACUGCACUCUAGCCUGGGCAACAUAGCGAGACCCUGUCUCU